UUUCAGUUAAUGGCCGAUGGAGUGUCUGGACAGUUUGGAUCUGCGCCAGUUGUAACAGCAGUGGGGCUGAAGGAAGCUUCAGGGAGAGGAAAUGUAAUAACCCCGCCCCUCUAUAUGGAGGUCACUACUGCAUUGGAAACGAGACUGAACAAGGGACAGGACCAUGCACAUGUCCUUUCAGCAAUGCCAACGCUACCGGUGA
rnacentral:sRNA from 1 species